CAAUUUUACUUUUAAACAUAGUUAUUUAAUAUAGAUAGAUAAUCGUGCAAACAAUCUGUUCAUUGUCAAGUUUUGAAAUAGUGAAAUGAUUUCCAGAUUUCCUUCAUCUCUCACUAGUGUUAUGUGCCCACACGCUUUUACCGCAUGUGUCCAAAAUAAUGUAAGUAUGUGUUAGACCAGAAAAUAAGCUUUUGACUAUUGUUGAAGUGUUUAAUAUUUUUUCAAAUUUUCCGGGACAUAGGUAUGUAGUAUGUACUUUACCUAAAGAUGCACGGUGUCAGGUAUAAUCGGACAUGUAAUUGCACCUAGAAUGAAGAACUACUGUUGAAGUAUUAUAUUUUUAACAUUUAAAUAUUAAUUAAUUACUAAUAGUUAUAUGGUGUAUUAAUUGAAAACAAUAAUUUUAAUUUUAUAGACCGAUUGCGACUUUGGAACGUGGUUAUUGUUUUCCUAGUCUGGCAUAGUUAUGCUGUCUGUGUUGAUUCUAAUCAGUGUCACUCCUAUUACGUGUUUCAUUUAUGGAUGUUUAUAAAAAAAAAAGUUAAUUGUUUUAAACCUUGUCAUAGGCAAAAUAUAAUUUUUUCCUAAGGAUUCCAGAAUGAUGAGCUACAGGUAAUAAUAAUAAAUAAAUAAUAUAUAUAUUGUAUAUCAAGAGUCAUAAGUAGGACUUGGAACUUAUUGCACUUAAGAUCUACAAAAAAUCACUUAAAAAUGUCUAGAAAACUCUGAACAAUGCACUUGAAAAAUAUUUAAAAAAUCAAAAACAAUAGAAUAGUUUUCCCUUCUAAUAGCUUUAAUUUAGUAAUUAAAAUGUUGUGUUAGAAAAUUAUAUUUAAUAACUUAAAGUUAUUAGAUAGGGAAUCUUUAAACCCUUCUACCUACCAUUUGUUCUUGACAAUAUUUGCUUGAAGUACAGUCGAAAUCGUCGAUAUUUCAAACUUUUUCCUUCAGUCCAACAAAUCUUGAUUGACUCGAAUAUUUUCGUGAAUAACUCGAAAUUUUGAUUUUUAUAAUUAUGAAAUUAUGAUACUUAUUUUCCUUAUGUAUGUACAUUUACUAUCAAAAAUAAAGUCAUUAGUGUUAUCUUUAACGAUAAGUGGUUUAUUCAACUGAUUUACUACACAGCACACAACAAUGAUUCAUUAACAAUCUACUAACAUACAUAUACACUUCAAUGUUUAGUGCUCCAUUACAUUUCAACGUGAUCAUAUGUAAAUUUUUUUAUUUGGAUAACUCAAACUUUUUUUCUGGUCCCUUCAACUUUGAAUUAACCAAGUUUGACUGUACUUUUUUUUCAAGGCUUGUGACAUUUUAAAUGCAAUAAGUCACGAGCCCUGGUCAUGACCAAAAGCCAAUUUUUUUGUUAUUAAUUUAUUUUAAAAUUAUUGUAGGUACUUUAAUUACAAAAUUACUUUAUAUUGAACAUUAAAUAAAUAUGUAGAACUUUUGAGAGUUGACAGAGUGCUACUGAGCAGAGGUAUUCAUCAAUGGCAAACUUGAGGGCCUGAGGUCUAAACAACAAUCUGUUUAUUGCCAAGUUUUGCAGUU
rnacentral:lncRNA from 1 species